rnacentral:rRNA from 1 species
AUGCGCGCCGACCUGCUCCCGCUCUCGUUCGCCGGCCUCUUCGUCCACUUCAUGGAGCACAAGUAUCCCGAAUUCUUCGCCCGCCCCUCCUCCUCCUCCUCGGGAGAUGCCAUCAGCGGCGACCUCAGCUUCCUGCCCUCCACCGGCCCUCGCGCCGGCACUAUAUGGGAACACUCUGAUGAUUGGCAUGGCUACAACAUCGAGGAUCACUGUAACGGGCUACUCUUGCUCAGCAAAAAUUGUGUCGUUAACCCUGCCACCCGUCAGUGGAAUGCUUUCCCGCCGUGCCCGGCCCAAGAUUGUACUAGAUGGAACAUGUGGUACUCUAGUCAUUUGGUCUAUGAUCCGAUGAUAUCCCCACACUAUGAGGUACUUAUGAUCCCAUGUUUGCGUGACAACAACGAUCGUAUAUGUGACGAAGACGAGGCAGACCUCUCCAUGGAGGAAUCCGAGUGGCCACUGUCUCCAUGCAAGAUGUAUGUGUUCUCAUCAAGGACUAGUUGUUGGGAGGACAAGUAUUUCGUCCGAGAAGGCGGUGCGGCAAGGACCGUCGGCGAGAUGCGGGUGGGUUGGCAGGAAUUCAACGAGGCUGCUGUCUAUUUUCGAAGAGCACUUUAUAUGCACUGCGGGGCUGCUUUUCUUAUGAGGUACAUGUUUACCAGCUUUGUUAUUAUAUUAUCUGAUGUCUAUCUUGGUGGUGGUUUGUUAUUAAAACAUUUAUGGACAAUGCAUGAUUUGAUUAUGCAGAAUAUCAUUGUCAGAUAA